CAAAAUGAACAUCCCAAUGCCAGGAGACAGAAGAAACCCAGCUGGGAUAUCACAGCCUGGACUUGUGACUGUCACAUCAAGCUGCUUACAGGACACUCUGCUCCAGAGUCCUUUGAAGGAACUCCAGCUCUGUACCUUUUGGAUUUCCUCCAGAAAUCCACAGGAGGAACAGGGAGAGCUCAAGUUACAGCUCCAGUUCCCAAUAUUCCACCCAGAUGAAAAUGUCCAGGUUAAAAGACCAAGCUGGGCCUCAGUAUCACAACUUCAGCCAAGGAAAGGAGAUCAGAGACAUCCUUGCCUCUUCAGUCCCUAAUUAACUUCUGUUGGCAUCCUCAUAAAAUUAAUUACUGUGCAUCCUCAAAAAGCAAGGCACAGAAGUGUUGGAUCCUCCUGCAAUGAAAUCCUUGGCAUCCAUACCACUGGCCAUAAAUCUUGGGAACAAAUUCCUUGGGAUUUAACUCCUACUUUGAGCCAGACUGGAGUUCCCCAAGGACAGUGCCUGUCAGGAGCUUGACAUCACAAAUUGCACAUGGUUAUGAAAAUGGAAACAACUUCAAGAAAAGCCAAUGUUGUUUGUUGGGCUUUUUUUGUUGAGAUUUCUCAAGACAUUCAGUUUAAGGCCAAUUCAUACAUCUGGGCUGAUUCCUCCUUUAUCCAAACCUGCCUGACCUAAGCACAGAUCCUAUUUUCAAUCACUUCAGAAGAAGGAAGCUCAAGUCCAACAGCCACAUUAAAAACCACAAAACAUGUUA